rnacentral:tRNA from 1 species
GGCGCGAUGGCGGAGUGGUUAACGCGAGAGACUAGAACCAACCAAUUUUCUGACUAAUCUCUUCCCUUCGGGGGCGUAGGUUCGAAUCCUGCUCGCGUCG